rnacentral:rRNA from 1 species
AGUGAACGCUGGCGGUAGGCCUAACACAUGCGAGUCGAACGGCAGCACAGUAAGAGCUUGCUCUUACGGGUGGCGAGUGGCGGACGGGUGAGGAAUACAUCGGAAUCUACUUUUUCGUGGGGGAUAACGUAGGGAAACUUACGCUAAUACCGCAUACGACCUACGGGUGAAAGCAGGGGAUCUUCGGACCUUGCGCGAUUGAAUGAGCCGAUGUCGGAUUAGCUAGUUGGCGGGGUAAAGGCCCACCAAGGCGACGAUCCGUAGCGGGUCUGAGAGGAUGAUCAGCCACACUGGAACUGAGACACGGUCCAGACUCCUACGGGAGGCAGCAGUGGGGAAUAUUGGACAAUGGGCGCAAGCCUGAUCCAGCCAUACCGCGUGGGUGAAGAAGGCCUUCGGGUUGUAAAGCCCUUUUGUUGGGAAAGAAAAGCAGCAGGUUAAUACCCCGCUGUUCUGACGGUACCCAAAGAAUAAGCACCGGCUAACUUCGUG